rnacentral:lncRNA from 1 species
ACGAUAUCAACACAAAUAUCAAAACCUAGAAUAUAUUUGAAAAUGACUAUCAUUGUUAAUAUAAGGAAUUAAGCAUAACGAAAAGAGCUGACACCUAAAAGUAACAGAACACAGACCAUGAAUUAAGUCAAAUCUUCCUCCUUUUAAAUUUACUUAACACAAUAUGCAAUUCAAAAUCAGAAGCAUAUGACACUUCAAAGGUAACACAUUACUCUCAAAGUAUAAAUCACUAAAUUGCGAGCUCAAAAAUAUAAUAGUGUAAAUACCUUACCAUCAACUAAAAAAGUUAUCCUUUUAAGUUCUGAGCCUGAUUUCAGUAGCUAUUUCCUCAAGAAAAAUACACUAAUGUUUUGUGAAAACCAAUUAAUUUCAUCAACCUCAAGCACCUUGAGAAAAUUUCUGUGGAAACUCAAUUUGUACCAUUAUAGAAUCGAUGGCACUUAGGUUCCAGUUCAUAUUCUUCAAUGCAUUAACAGUUAGACAUGCCUCCCUUAAAAAGGAGAUCUAUGACAGCCUGAAAUUGGCAAAAGAAAGAAGAACCACAUUUUGAUUAGCUCUGUUGUAGUAAUCUAUAAUUUUUUCUCCCAAAUGACUAUCUUUCUGAAGACAUACCUGAAAAUUAAAUUAUAUAAUAACACCUUGAUAGAAAAGUCAUUUUUAAUGUCACAUCCUUAAUUCCUUUCUAAUAUAAUUUUAUUCCAUGUGCAUUUUACACUAUAUUAACUUUGGCAGCAACUUAUGUGGCAUAGACAUUAAUGGAGCACUUGGAUAAGAAAAGAAAUCUAUCUGUACUAAGAAAAAGAAUAAAAUGAGUGUCUGAGUACUUGCAUAUACUUGGCAGAUACGUUUUUUGAAAAGCAUUUUCUCGAAUUUCCAUGCUGUACAACUCGUAUCAUCGCCACUACUUCAGUCUACUAAAAGGCCAUCAUAUUGACAUGAAAACUAUCCCCUUCUUCUAACAUGAAACCCCAUUCUGCUUUGCUAAAAAAGUAGAAAUUGGAUCACAAAAUUGAUUUUUUGGGAAAAACCUAAUGAAUUUUAAGAGAUCGAAAAAAUUGUGGAAAGAAAAUUCACUUUGUGAAAAAUCAAUGGAGAGUUUUGCUCAUGAACGGAAGAAAAGUUUUUUUUUUUGUGAA